GGCGGCUGCCUAUACAUGCAGUCGAACGAACUUCCGUUAAUUGAUUAUGACGUACUUGUACUGAUUGAGAUUUUAACACGAAGUGAGUGGCGAACGGGUGAGUAACACGUGGGUAACCUGCCCAGAAGUAGGGGAUAACACCUGGAAACAGAUGCUAAUACCGUAUAACAGAGAAAACCGCAUGGUUUUCUUUUGAAAGAUGGCUCUGCUAUCACUUCUGGAUGGACCCGCGGCGUAUUAGCUAGUUGGUGAGGUAAAGGCUCACCAAGGCAGUGAUACGUAGCCAACCUGAGAGGGUAAUCGGCCACAUUGGGACUGAGACACGGCCCAGACUCCUACGGGAGGCAGCAGUAGGGAAUCUUCCACAAUGGACGCAAGUCUGAUGGAGCAACGCCGCGUGAGUGAAGAAGGGUUUCGGCUCGUAAAGCUCUGUUGUUAAAGAAGAACGUGGGUAAGAGUAACUGUUUACCCAGUGACGGUAUUUAACCAGAAAGCCACGGCUAACUACGUGCCAGCAGCCGCGGUAAUACGUAGGUGGCAAGCGUUAUCCGGAUUUAUUGGGCGUAAAGCGAGCGCAGGCGGUCUUUUAAGUCUAAUGUGAAAGCCUUCGGCUCAACCGAAGAAGUGCAUUGGAAACUGGGAGACUUGAGUGCAGAAGAGGACAGUGGAACUCCAGGUGUAGCGGUGAAAUGCGUAGAUAUAUGGAAGAACACCAGUGGCGAAGGCGGCUGUCUGGUCUGCAACUGACGCUGAGGCUCGAAAGCAUGGGUAGCGAACAGGAUUAGAUACCCUGGUAGUCCAUGCCGUAAACGAUGAUUACUAAGUGGUUGGAAGGGUUUCCGCCCUUCAGUGCUGCAGCUAACGCAUUAAGUAAUCCGCCUGGGGGAGUACGACCGCAAGGUUGAAACUCAAAAGAAUUGACGGGGGCCCGCACAAGCGGUGGAGCAUGGUGGUUUAAUUCGAAGCUACGCGAAGAACCUUACCAGGUCUUGACAUCUUCUGACAGUCUAAAAAAAUAAAAGGUUCCCUUCUGGGACAGAAAGACAAGUGGUUGCAAGGGUUGUCUUCAGCCCCCCGUCGCCGAGAAGAUAUGGGUUUAAUUCUCCCCAACAAAACGCAACCCUUAUUA
rnacentral:rRNA from 1 species